rnacentral:rRNA from 1 species
GAUGAACGCUAGCUACAGGCUUAACACAUGCAAGUCGAGGGGCAGCGCAGUGUAGCAAUACACGGGCGGCGACCGGCGCACGGGUGCGUAACGCGUAUCCAACCUUCUCGUUACUCAGGGAUAGCCUUCCGAAAGGGAGAUUAAUACCUGAUGGUGUUCAAAUUCCGCAUGUUAUUUGAACUAAAGAUUCAUCGGUAACGGAUGGGGAUGCGUGACAUUAGAUAGUAGGCGGGGUAACGGCCCACCUAGUCCACGAUGUCUAGGGGUUCUGAGAGGGAGGUCCCCCACACUGGAACUGAGACACGGUCCAGACUCCUACGGGAGGCAGCAGUGAGGAAUAUUGGUCAAUGGUCGGAAGACUGAACCAGCCAAGUAGCGUGAAGGAUGAAGGUUCUAUGGAUUGUAAACUUCUUUAUACGGGAAUAAAACCUCCCACGUGUGGGAGCUUGUAUGUACCGUAUGAAUAAGCAUCGGCUAACUCCGUGCCAGCAGCCGCGGUAACAC